CCUACGGGUGGCUGCAGUGGGGAAUAUUGGACAAUGGGGGAAAGCCUUAUCCAGCGAUGCCGCGUGUGGGAUGACGGUUUUCGGAUUGUAAACCUCUGUCAGUGGGGACGAUAAUGACGGUACCAACGGAGGAAGCUACGGCGAACUACGUGCCAGUAGCCGCGGUCUUACGUAGUUGGAGAGCGUUGUCCGGAAUUACUGGGUGUAAAGGGAGCGUAGGCGGGUUGGCAAGUCAGAAGUGAAGAUUAUGGGCUCAACUCAUAACCUGCUUUUGAGACUGAUAUUCUUGAGUGAAGUAGAGGCAAGCGGAAUUCCUAGUGUAGCAGUGAAAUGCGUAGAUAUUAGGAGGAACACCAGUGGCGAAGGCGGCUUGCUGGGCUUUUACUGACGCUGAGGCUCGAAAGCGUGGGGAGCAAACAGGAUUAGAUACCCCUGUAGUC
rnacentral:rRNA from 1 species